GUGCCACCAACUGGUGGAUAGCUCUUUGCUAAUAAUAAACAAAUAAUUUGCAAUAAAUAAAUAACGCGACUAUAAGGAGAGUUAUAAACUAUCCUAUCUUUCAAGUUGGACCAAACUGCACACAGUGUUAAAAAUUUCAUUAAAAUCGGUUCAGUAGUUUAGGAGUCCAUCGAAAACAAACAACGUGACACGUGAUUUUUAUAUAUUAAGAUAUAUCUAUAUAUAUAAAAUUAAGUGGCAAAACUUCCUGUUCGCAUACUCCUCCUAGACGGCUUGCCCGAUUUCAAUGAAAUUUUCAGGGGUGAUUGGGGUCUGUUUGGAGGGUGCACAUAAGAAAUUUAAUGUGUGUAUCAUUGCACGUUUUGCAAAAAAAAAAAAAAAAAACAAAAAAAGAAACAACUGGCGGAUGUUUACAAUUAAUAAAAAACAUUGACAUCGUAUGUUGAUCGUUUUUGCCUGUCAUUCGUUCUUUCUAUGGAUGACCGUCAAGCUAACAAGACAUACAGAACGUUUCAACGUGAUUAACAUUCUGCGUACAACACAAAGCAAAUUUAAUUCCAUCGAUUUGCUAGAUUUAUUCGAACCGAUUUUGUGUUUUUCUGCUGACCGUGCAACACACACAAAGCAACACAGCCACCGGGGACAACACUAACUACCUUUUUCGAGUUGUGUGAAAACGAUGAAUUUGCAAGAACAUUGCUAUAUUCCGAAAUACCACAAUAUUUCACUUGGAAUCCAUCAUCGAAAACAUUUCAACGACGAAAGCAAGGAGAGCGUGUUGACGGUUAUCCAAAUCUCCGUAAAACCGAUGCCAUAAGACACAUUUACACCAUCCAUCCGAACAACGCUGCGGACCAAGAUCAUUUGAUGAUUUGAAAACUGUUGACUGUCAGUUGUGUGCGACGUAUCGUGAAGCAUGUCAGCGAUUGCAUUUGUUAGAAGAUGAUAUGCAUUGGGACACCGCACUUCAUGACGCCACUAUUCGCCAUAAUACUACUACUAUUCGCCAUAAUAAUAUCUACAUGCCUUCCGUCAAAUCCGCAAUAACUGUGGAAUAAGUACAAAGACUGCAUGACCGAGGACUUAUUAAUUUUGGCGCAUAAUCGAGCAUCGGACGCAGACUUGCUAUAUACAUUACAAAUGUAUAACUCUGCUAUGAUAUGCCGUUUGAAUUUAAGCGCUUGCAGUUCCCAGUACGUCUUGCCUUUGCGAUGACCAUCAACAAAUCGCAAGGGCAAACGUUUCAAGUGUGCGGCGUCAAUUUGGAAGAACCGUGCUUCUCCCACGGCCAAUUGUUCGUCGCAUGCUCGAGAGUGGGAACACCAAGGUACUUAUUCAUUUACGCGCCAGGUGGAAAAACCAAAAAUGUUGUAUACCAAUAUGUUUUAUAAAUGUUUUAUAAAUAAGUAACAGUUUUACAACAAUAAAUAAAACACAAAGUAAAAACCCUUAAGAGUUUUAAUCGAUUUAAGUGUAGC